rnacentral:lncRNA from 1 species
UCCCGCCAUCUUCCGUCAGAGAAUCCCGGCUCCUGCUGCAAUAAGAGGCUGUUCUGGAAGCUCUGGGGUUCGGGUCUUUGUCCCUGCAGCUAUGCUUCCAGAGUGCUCUGUGCAUUUUCACGAUCAGCAAACAAUGAAUAAAUCUCUGUCUGAAUGAGAGUUCCUGUUGCUGCACAUUCUCAAUAUCAGUUGUUGUCAGUGCUCCAGAUUUUGGCCAUUCUACUAGGUAAAUACUUUUUAAAAUGGAAGAAAAAAUAGAAAUGCUAGGCCUGUCAUUUAAAUCCUGAAAAUUACAGAAAACUUAGCACCCAGCUGCCAGUGUGCUAUGAGGACUAACUCACAUCAUGUAAUAUUUCCUGAACAGUGCUCUGUAACAGACUUCUGAACACAUAGUACGUGCUCAAUAAAGAUUGUAUUAACUCAAAAAAAAAAAAAAA